GGGCGCAAGCCUGAUGCAGCCAUGCCGCGUGUAUGAAGAAGGCCUUCGGGUUGUAAAGUACUUUCAGCAGUGAGGAAGGUGGAUAUGUUAAUAGCAUAUUCAUUUGACGUUAGCUGCAGAAGAAGCACCGGCUAACUCCGUGCCAGCAGCCGCGGUAAUACGGAGGGUGCGAGCGUUAAUCGGAAUUACUGGGCGUAAAGCGCAUGCAGGUGGUUUGUUAAGUCAGAUGUGAAAGCCCCGGGGCUCAACCUCGGAAUUGCAUUUGAAACUGGCAAACUAGAGUACUGUAGAGGGGGUAGAAUUUCAGGUGUAGCGGUGAAAUGCGUAGAGAUCUGAAGGAAUACCGGUGGCGAAGGCCGGCCCCCCUGGACAGAUACUGACACUCAGAUGCGAAAGCGUGGGGAGCAAACAGGAUUAGAUACCCUGGUAG
rnacentral:rRNA from 1 species